UACGAAGGGUGCUAGCGUUGUUCGGAAUUACUGGGCGUAAAGCGCGCGCAGGCGGUUUGUCAAGUCAGAUGUGAAAUCCCGGGGCUUAACUCCGGAACUGCAUUUGAAACUGGCUCACUAGAGAAAGGUAGAGGAGAGUGGAAUUCCCAGUGUAGAGGUGAAAUUCGUAGAUAUUGGGAGGAACACCGGAGGCGAAGGCGGCUCUCUGGACCAUUUCUGACGCUGAGGCGCGAAAGCGUGGGGAGCAAACGGG
rnacentral:rRNA from 1 species